CUCGCAGCCGCCAUAGACGACGACGGACCGACCUUACUUACUCGCUUGCAAUAGUUUGCUAACUGUAUUUCGAUACCGUCAAAAGUCACACACACUUUACGAGCCUCUGUAUCGAACCGACAAUUUGACGGCACGCUCAAGUGAACUUUCAGGCAUUCGUUUGAUGAAAUGAGAGCACUACACAUUAUUUUGUUCCUCGUUGUCCUGGCAGCAAUGGAGUUGACAGAUGCAAAACCGUGCAAUAAUUUUCAAAGGGUUCUUUGCGAUAUGAAAUGUAUUCUGAGUAGCAACGUUUGCAUAGGCGGCGACGGAAUAUUCAAUUACACCUGCAACUGCAAAAUACCCGAAUAAAAAGAUAGCGUCGAUACACAGGCGCGCACACGGACGUAGCGGACUUUUCAACUGGCAAAAAGAUAAAAUAGAAGAAGAAGAAGAAGACGAAGAAAAAUUGACGACUCGCUCUCUAAAGAAUCCCAAGAUGCAGGCAAAAUAUCUGCGGCGAAUAAAUAAUGGCGCGAAGGCGAGUACGUGCGAUAGAGUCUCCUCCGAAUUAAGGGCCUCUCUAAUUGUAUUAUCCGCGGCUCGAGACGACGUCACUUUGCAUCGGUGCGCGAUGCGGGCUCGUUAAGACACGUCUUGCUCUUUUUUCUCCCUCGAAACACGUUUCACCCCCGCCGCACACACCUUUGAUACCGCUUUUUUCGGCAAUUUCGCUCCUCUCUCUCUCUCUCUCUUCCUCUCUUUCUCUCUUCGAUCUCUUUCGCUCGACAUUUCUUUUCUGGCCUUUUUGCCUGUCCUUUCUCGCAGGUCUGUCUGCUCACUCUCGACCGACUGGCGGCUUAGGAGGCUUCCUCUUUUUUCUUGUUACUUCGAGCAGCGCUCUUAAGUUGUCGCUCGGCCGCGAGAAUUUGACGACCGAUCUUGAUCAAUCCGCUAAUUAUUUUCAGGCUUGUUUUCGACCCAAAACAUUUUCAUGGGACACGAACAAGUCGCUUCCAAUCGCGACUUAUUGGCACUCGCGUCGCGAUCGUUAUCGUUCAUUUCAUUUUCAUUUUUCGUCCGAAAGCCCAUCCUUUUAAUAUUCCGCGUGUACACGUACACCAUUUUUUUCCAUUCAUGUUUUCCUCCCUCCGUCUCUCUCCUCUUUUUAAUAUCAACAACUCUCGGGCCAAUUUUUUGCAAAACGCUGCUACACGUGCAACCGUAUAAGCAUGGCAGCGAUAGAAUUGCAAGAGAAACCAAACUAAAGAAAUAAUUGAGUGGGGCCAGCAAAAAAUAUCGCCUGUCAAUAUUCCGAACAAACACGAUGUAAGCAAAGCAGAUCCGGCAAUAUUUGUCGGCGUGGACGCGGAAGAAAAGAUAUCGAAGGCAGGUGGAGCAAACGAUGAAAGAAUUUCUAUAAAGUAGAAUGGUGGUAGAGAGCGUCGGAGGGAUUUCGGUUGGCAGCUCUCGCGAGGAUUUACGAGGUUUCUUGUUGCAUUUAGGAGGGAGCGAUUGCAUCAUCACUCGGCAUUCCGGGGCCUUAAUUCGCGAGCUGCGCACUUUAGAAGCCAUCCGUCUUGAUGCGACGUGUCUCGGCUGGUUUUUCGGCAGGCACGACGGCACGAGAUAACGGAGUGCCGGCUAGCUUGACUCGUUCGCGCCUUCUUUCCAACGACACUGCCGCCGCCACUCCACGAUUGUUUCUCGCGUUGGCGUUCCACUCGACUCCCUGUCUAAUUAAGCGACAUCGCAGAUUCAUCGGUAUGUGCGAUUAUCGCACUGGAGGCGGAAGCACCUUGAUAGAAAGCGGAAUAUCAAUUGAAAUGGAAAUUCGUUUAGCUCUGCCUGCCGAAUAAAAUAAGGACUCUUGGCAGGUCUCUCUCGUCGGCUACAGGGCAGACAGGCCAGAAAAAAGAAGUCGCUUGAAAGCGAGUCCCGCGAAUAAUUAUCCCAGCACAAUUUACUUAUGCGCGCCUUCGGAUUAAAGGCACUCAGCCCCGUUACACACCGAGGGGACUCGGGGAGUCUUUGCAGCAGUGGUGAAGAGCGAGAUGGCGCGCCUAGUCGUUCGAUAUCCGAAGGGAUCGCGAGUGACGUCGUCGCGGGCCAAAUGGGGAGACGAAUAGAAAUAAAACUCGACGGCCAGACCAGGGAGACGCCACGCGGAAAGAUUUUUUGCCGAAGAUAGAGUGCCCGAGCCGCCGCCGCCGCCGCCGCCACGCGGCCUUCCAAGCUCGAAAGCGCUCGAAAGCGCUCGAAAGCGCUCGAAAGCGCUCGAAAGCGCUCGAAAGCGCUCGAAAGCGAACGAAAACGAGCGAAAGCGAGCGAAACACAGAGAGAUGCUCACGGCUACGCGCGCUGCUGCCAACGCUGCUGCUUCAACUUGGAAUCAGAAUAAUUUUAUUACUCCUUUUUGCGCUUGUCCUUCUGCUUCCUUUGCCGACUUGCCUGGUGAUCGGUGUAAUACGUGAGUCGCCUGCAAAAAUCUCUACAUCAGAUGCACA